CAUCACUUUACUCAUAAGUUUGAAAACAUCAAAAGCACGUCCGCGGGGAUCAAAUUAACCCGGUAAUGAAAAAAAAAAGUAUUUUUGAUCCUUUUUGAAAUAGGUAGCUAUCUAACAUUGUAUGCUUUUGAACGAACCACCUAUUUAAAUAAAAUUAAUACGCGAUAGCACUGCGCGCAAACAAUGUCAUGUGGCAGGUUCAAAAUGAGAUUGUAUUACAAGUGGAGGGAUACCAGAAGUAAAAAAAAUAAAUACG